UAUUGCGAUCAUACCAGCACUAAUGCACCGGAUCCCAUCAGAACUCCGCAGUUAAGCGUGCUUGGGCGAGAGUAGUACUAGGAUGGGUGACCCCCUGGGAAGUCCUCGUGUUGCAACCC
rnacentral:rRNA from 1 species